rnacentral:rRNA from 1 species
CCUACGGGAGGCAGCAGUGGGGAAUAUUGCACAAUGGGGGAAACCCUGAUGCAGCGACGCCGCGUGAGUGAAGAAGUACUUCGUUAUGUAAAGCUCUAUCAGCAGGGAAGAAAAUGACGGUACCUGACUAAGAAGCCCCGGCUAACUACGUGCCAGCAGCCGCGGUAAUACGUAGGGGGCAAGCGUUAUACGGAUUUACUGGGUGUAAAGGGAGCGUAGGCGGCAGUGCAAGUCUGAAGUGAAAGUCGGGGGCUCAACUCCGGGACUGCGAUUGAAACUGUAAGGCUGGAGUGCAGGAGAGGUAAGUGGAAUUCCUAGUGUAGCGGUGAAAUGCGUAGAUAUGAGGAGGAACACCAGUGGCGAAGGCGGCUGACUGGACUGUAACUGACGUUGAGGCUCGAAAGCGUGGGGAGCAAACAGGAUUAGAUACCCUUGUAGUC